rnacentral:rRNA from 1 species
UACGGAGGGUGCGAGCGUUGUCCGGAAUCACUGGGCGUAAAGGGCGCGUAGGCGGCUUGGGAAGUCCGUGGUGAAAGCUCGUGGCUCAACUGCGAGUCGGCCAUGGAUACUCCUAAGCUCGAGCACUGUAGAGGCAGGUGGAAUUCCGGGUGUAGCGGUGGAAUGCGUAGAGAUCCGGAAGAACACCGGUGGCGAAGGCGGCCUGCUGGGCAGUAGCUGACGCUGAGGCGCGACAGCGUGGGGAGCAAACAGG